rnacentral:lncRNA from 1 species
AAAUCAUUAUGAUGAAAAUCUACAGCAAAGAUGAGAAGAUUGAUCUUUUCCUUCCUUUCUUUCAAUACUAGACCCUUUGCUUUCCAAGAAUGACAGUUCUGGAUAGAAGCCCUCUGUUAGCCAUAUAGUUAACCUAAAAGAUGAAAAGGUCACCAAGGAAUUGCCUGGGGGAGCUCAAAGAAGCCUUCAGCAAAUCUCUUUCAAUUAGCCAGAAUUUGGUCUUAUUCCCAUUUGCGCCUGAGUCUUGGAACCAGAGACAUGCCAUGUGCUGAUAUGCUCACAUCUGGAUCACUGAACCAAUCACUGGAAUUCACCUUCAUUCCUAGACCAAUCAGGUCAAGCCCUAGAGCUGGAGGAAAAGUAAGCUUCUCUUGAGGUGCCUGAGCUAUGAAGAGGCAUUGUCAUAUGAUCAAAGAUGAGGUUCUGCUGGGAAGGGGUGUUGGUGUCGCAAUCCAAUGUACACAUCAGGAUAGAUGGGGAGAGGACUGAUGGCCACUCUGAGUUUAUUAUAACCAGCAUUUCAAUAUAUACAUAGCUUACAGCUGUUAAACAUACACAGGUGUUCUGGAUGAAGUAAUUAGCGAAUGCCAGGAAUUCUUAGUGAUUUCUCAAGGAGCCCUCCCUUGGCCUCUGUUUUGAUAUUAUCAUGUUUUUACUGUGCUUGUAUAUUUUUAUCUCA